UAUGUCCAUAUCAUGUCAAAAUACCUGUUUCCAUACAAUCACCAAAGUUAAGCAACAUCAAGACUGGUUAGUACCUAGAUUGGUGAACACUUGGGAAAACCAUGUGCUGUAAG